UUGCCUACGGGACGCAGCAGUGAGGAAUAUUGGUCAAUGGGCGAGAGCCUGAACCAGCCAAGUCGCGUGAGGGAAGACGGUCCUAUGGAUUGUAAACCUCUUUUGCCGGGGAGCAAAAAGCGGUACGUGUACCGCAUCGAGAGUACCCGGAGAAAAAGCAUCGGCUAACUCCGUGCCAGCAGCCGCGGUAAUACGGAGGAUGCGAGCGUUAUCCGGAUUUAUUGGGUUUAAAGGGUGCGUAGGCGGAAUAUCAAGUCAGCGGUAAAAAUUCGGGGCUCAACCCCGUCGUGCCGUUGAAACUGAUG
rnacentral:rRNA from 1 species